rnacentral:lncRNA from 1 species
CCAUCCCUCUCUCUCCCUCCCUUUCUCCCUAUCUAGCUGUCACCAUACUUGACUGCAGCUGUUGCAGCCGCACACUUCCACAAACAAACGCCGGCUCUCCUUUUGGUAAAAUGCCAGACUGUAACGACGCUGCACCCGCACCAUGCCAGGUUAUCAAAGAGGACGUUGACAAAUGUGUCAGGGAGAAAGGAGUGGAGGACUGUAAAGAUCUGAUAGAUGCCUUCCAGGCCUGUAUAAAAACUCUGUCUGAGGGAUCAUAGUACAUAAUGAAACACACCUCAAAAUUUCCAUCUCCUUUCUCACCUCAGAAUAAACUUUGUCAUAGUUCAAAGGAGGGGAUGUUU